AGACGAACCGCACGAACGUUAUUCGGAAUCACUGGGCUUAAAGGGUGCGUAGGCGGCCAUGCAAGUCGGGUGUGAAAUCCCUCAGCUCAACUGAGGAAUGGCGCCCGAUACUGCAUGGCUCGAGGGAGGCAGAGGUGAGCGGAACUUGCGGUGGAGCGGUGAAAUGCGUUGAUAUCGCAAGGAACACCAGUAGCGAAAGCGGCUCACUGGGCCUCUUCUGACGCUGAGGCACGAAAGCUAGGGUAGCGAACAGGAUUAGAUACCCUGGUAGUCCUAGCUGUAAACGCUGAGCACUGGGUUGGAGGGUCCUCCAUAGCCUUCCAGUCGUAGCGAAAGUGUUAAGUGCUCCGCCUGGGGAGUAUGGUCGCAAGGCUGAA
rnacentral:rRNA from 1 species